GCUGGGUCGCUAUGGAGUUUUUAACUCCUAGACUUGCCCAUGCUGAGCCAUCAACCAUUUCUCAAUUAUGUUUCAGGUUUCCUAUCCUGGCACUCAUUCUGACGGAGGUGUCUGCUCUUGGUCUCUGCUCUGGUCUUCAAGUUAAAAAAAGAAGAAAGAAGAAAGAAAGAAAGAAAGAAAGAAAGAAAGAAAGAAAGAAAGAAAGAAAGAAAGAAAGAAAGAAAGAACAAUGGAAGUAGAUAGUUUAGGAAAAGCACUGGAUCACGAAUCUAAUGUCUUGUGAUCUAGUCUCUUUUCCAUAUGAUGCAAGAAUUAGACAGUUUCUUUUUUUGAGCUCUAAAGUUCAAAAUUCAAUAUCACCGAAUAUGCUAUUUUCAGGAGGAUGAGGGGAGCACGAUAAUGGGGGAAUUUCUGGAAAGAUGAGGAAGCACAGUCCUCUGGAUCUAAGGGGAAAAGAGUCCUAGAAUUGCUCUCGAGAUUUUCUUUGUCCAACGAUUGUAUGAAAGUGCCAGAGGCAGGAGAUGACAAUGCGAGAUCUUUCUAUAAUAUUUUUAAAAUUUUUUUCUGAUAGAGGUGAUUUUGUUGCCAUUUUCAAAUUUAGGGAGACAGGCUUUUUUAUUAUGGGAAAAUUUAAGAGAAUUUGCAAGAAAAGUCUUUUGCUUUGUCCAAAUGCCAAAGAUGCAAUCAAGAAGGCACUUGAUUUUGUGGCAUUUUUGCAGAUUCCUUUUCACCAUGCUUGUGUAGGCAUGUAAGUAACAUAAAUUAAUGAUUUAGUAGGAUUGAGUUGAUGAAGUGCAGCAAUAAAGACUGCCAGGUACAGGAAUAAUUCAGUCUUUUAUUUUAAGCCACUCGAAAGCUAUAACACCAGAGGGAAAUAGUCACACCAUCAGCAAGCCCAUAGAAAAUGCUUUCACACCAUUGGAAAAGGCUCUGCCAAAUUUCUCAAAAAAUUAUGAAGUGAACUAGACAAAAUAAGCCAAGCCAUCAAACAUCAACAAGACAGGUGUGAGUGGCUGAAGUUGUGGAGGUCUUUUUUUCAGCAGUGUGAUUCCCUGACAUCCCCCGACUCUGCCAUUCUACUCAAUUUCCUCUCACAUCUUCUGUACAGCCCCCUCCCACAUACACAGGACAGAAGUGGGACAAGUGGAGAAGAAAAUGAUGAGAGUAAUGCCGAGGGAAGACAGCAGUGUGUUUAACAUCACAAGAUCAGAGGGAGCCCAGAAGCAGAACCUAGAAAAAUCCUUUCACAGCAUGCAAUAUAGAACAAAAAUCCCUAGAAAACUCAAAUACUACUAUUAUCAUGUUUCAAAACAAGAAAGCUAAGAAAGGUGACAAAAGGACCCAAGAAAGGCUAGCACAUACUUUUAGCCACCUGUGUGUCAGGUGGGAAGUUUUCAUCAGAACGCUUUAAUUCUUGUCUUUGAUGUAUGAGCCCAAUCAAGACAAUAAUGUGUCCUUGAACCAAAAUGAAUCCCCUAUGAUAGGCUCUAUCACUCGGGGUGAUAAACAAAGCUUUUAAAGACAUAAACUAGCUCCAUAGGUGGCCUCCACUCACUCCAAGAAAGCUUUUGAUUAAAAGAAAAAAAAAAUGUAUGGAGGAGCAAAGUUGAAUGAAGGCAUACAGAAAGUUUUAUUGCAUUCGGAAGAAAUAAACAUGAAAAUGAGGCCUCUUCAGUAACUCUACGAGGAUGGACAAAUGGAAGAAGCCAGACCAUCAGAUAAAAGGAGAAGGAACAACUUCGCCUCCAUGGCCUCAAGAUUUUUACUUUGAGGAGCAUAACCAUCGAAGGUUGAACUACCACCUAAUUCUUCUCCACGGGGUUGCCUGACUAGCUCAACCACAAAUAAGACCUCUGCUCAAUGGGCUUUGCUGAGAAGGUUGAGGCGCAACCUGCAGGAAGCAUGGACCCACUGGUGCUCCAUUGGAUGGCAGCCUUCACAGAUGAAGGGAUGAAUCCUGGGCAAACAAGUGACAGAAGCCAAAAAGCAGAGAAAUGGAAGAACAAUGGGAAAUGGAGAAAUUGAGAUGAGAUUUUCAGCAUGAAGAGAAGUUCUAAUGGAAAGGAAUUUCUCCUGGUUUGAAUGUUAGAAGGCUACAAUAAAAAAUGGAAUCUCCCCCGCCUGGUGAGAAUGGAAAUACGGAAGGACUAGUUAGUGGGUGACUCACAAGAAGAAGCAAUUAUACCUUUCAGGCUUUGGAGCUGGUCAGGGGAAAACAGAAUUGAGAGUCCUGUUAGUAAACUCACCCUUGAAUUUCUCAGGAUGCGGAGGACUUAGACGUGGCUGUGAACGGUGCUAAGUCACUCACUUUAACUCUCCGAAGGCACAGUUUUUAGAACACUCACACACUGUUGGGGGAUAAGUUUGGUUGGAUUCAGUUAGCUGCUGUUUUUCUAGGAGAAAUAAGUGAAAACUACAUGAACCAACAUUUCCAAAGCUACUACACAGAAGUUCUGGCAAAUUUGGUGGUUUGAGAGCAAGGGUAUUACCGUCUGAUUUCAUUGCAGAAAAAAACAUAAAAUAGGAUGUUUUACUUUUUUCGUGUUUAACUUUUCAAGCUUAAAUGGUAAAAAACUAUGGGAAUGAAAAAAAAAUGGGAAUGUGGCAAAGCAAACGUCAAUAAGAAGAUACAAUUUAAAAAAGAGUUGAAAAUAUCCUUUGUUAUUUAUCAUCUUGUAGUGGAAUAAAAGUGAAUGUGAUGAAAUCACAAUGGACUAAACUGACUUUCUCCUACAAUUCAAAGCAUUGGGCCAAUUCUUCAAAUCAUGUACAGAUGGUAACAAUUCUUGAGUUGUCUUCAUAAUGAGGGACUGGUGAGAUAAGAAAACUUUAAAUCAAUAUUUAUUACCCAAACAUACUUAAACCAUAUCUUUCAUUUUUCUUUUACCAAAUCUAUGGUUUUCAAAUUAGAACUGCUAACAAUCAAAGACCUUUAUAAAUUCACCUAUCAUUAGAACCCUGUUUUUGACAGUUCUACAUUGAAUUGUUGAAAAAGUGCUUCAAGAAAGCAUCAAAAUAUCUAUAACUAUUAAUGCCCAUAAGGAAACCAUGUACUAAUGCAUUUAAAUAGUCGCCACUGUUUUAUUCAAAUGAUUUUAAAGAUUCGAGAUGAAUGAUUUUUAGUUUAGCAUAGUACAGCAUUUUAAUACAAAUGAAUCAUUGGUUUAAAAUGAUUUAAAAAUAUUUGGCCUUUAAACAUUGUUAGCAUUUUUCCCCCCGGCAUAAAAAGUAGAGAUUUGGGAAAUACAGAUUAUUAGAAAAAAAAAAAAGAAAUUAUGAAAAAGAUUCUAAUCUCACUAAUUAGGUUCAACCACGGUUAAAUAUUAGUAUAUUUUCCUGA